rnacentral:rRNA from 8 species
GGGUUUUUGAUGGAGGGUUUGAUCCUGGCUCAGGACGAACGCUGGCGGCGUGCUUAACACAUGCAAGUCGAACGGUAAGGCUCCAGCUUGCUGGGGUACACGAGUGGCGAACGGGUGAGUAACACGUGGGUGACCUGCCCUGCACUUCGGGAUAAGCCUGGGAAACUGGGUCUAAUACCGGAUAGGACCGCACCGUGAGGGUGUGGUGGAAAGUUUUUUCGGUGUGGGAUGGGCCCGCGGCCUAUCAGCUUGUUGGUGGGGUAAUGGCCUACCAAGGCGGCGACGGGUAGCCGGCCUGAGAGGGUGGACGGCCACAUUGGGACUGAGACACGGCCCAGACUCCUACGGGAGGCAGCAGUGGGGAAUAUUGCACAAUGGGCGGAAGCCUGAUGCAGCGACGCCGCGUGGGGGAUGACGGCCUUCGGGUUGUAAACUCCUUUCACCAUCGACGAAGGGUUUCUGACGGUAGAUGGAGAAGAAGCACCGGCUAACUACGUGCCAGCAGCCGCGGUAAUACGUAGGGUGCGAGCGUUGUCCGGAAUUACUGGGCGUAAAGAGCUCGUAGGUGGUUUGUCGCGUCGUCUGUGAAAUUCCGGGGCUUAACUCCGGGCGUGCAGGCGAUACGGGCAUAACUUGAGUACUGUAGGGGAGACUGGAAUUCCUGGUGUAGCGGUGAAAUGCGCAGAUAUCAGGAGGAACACCGGUGGCGAAGGCGGGUCUCUGGGCAGUAACUGACGCUGAGGAGCGAAAGCAUGGGGAGCGAACAGGAUUAGAUACCCUGGUAGUCCAUGCCGUAAACGGUGGGCGCUAGGUGUGGGUUUCCUUCCACGGGAUCCGUGCCGUAGCUAACGCAUUAAGCGCCCCGCCUGGGGAGUACGGCCGCAAGGCUAAAACUCAAAGGAAUUGACGGGGGCCCGCACAAGCGGCGGAGCAUGUGGAUUAAUUCGAUGCAACGCGAAGAACCUUACCUGGGCUUGACAUAUACAGGAUCGCGCCAGAGAUGGUGUUUCCCUUGUGGCUUGUAUACAGGUGGUGCAUGGUUGUCGUCAGCUCGUGUCGUGAGAUGUUGGGUUAAGUCCCGCAACGAGCGCAACCCUUGUCUUAUGUUGCCAGCACGUUGUGGUGGGGACUCGUAAGAAACUGCCGGGGUUAACUCGGAGGAAGGUGGGGAUGACGUCAAAUCAUCAUGCCCCUUAUGUCCAGGGCUUCACACAUGCUACAAUGGUCGGUACAGUGGGUUGCCAGUCCGUGAGGGCGAGCUAAUCCCGCAAAGCCGGUCUCAGUUCGGAUCGGGGUCUGCAACUCGACCCCGUGAAGUCGGAGUCGCUAGUAAUCGCAGAUCAGCAACGCUGCGGUGAAUACGUUCCCGGGCCUUGUACACACCGCCCGUCACGUCAUGAAAGUCGGUAACACCCGAAGCCAGUGGCCUAACACAUUUUGUGGGGGAGCUGUCGAAGGUGGGAUUGGCGAUUGGGACGAAGUCGUAACAAGGUAGCCGUACCGGAAGGUGCGGCUGGAUCACCUCCUUUCUAAGGAGA